rnacentral:rRNA from 1 species
UACCAGCACCCCGAGUGGUCGGGACGUUUAUUGGGCCUAAAGCAUCCGUAGCCGGUUCUACAAGUCUUCCGUUAAAUCCACCUGCUUAACAGAUGGGCUGCGGAAGAUACUAUAGAGCUAGGAGGCGGGAGAGGCAAGCGGUACUCGAUGGGUAGGGGUAAAAUCCGUUGAUCCAUUGAAGACCACCAGUGGCGAAGGCGGCUCUCUGGGACGGUACUGACGCUGAGACGCGAAAGCGUGGGGAGCGAACAGG